UACGGGGGGGGCAAGCGUUGUUCGGAAUUACUGGGCGUAAAGGGCUCGUAGGCGGCCCACUAAGUCAGACGUGAAAUCCCUCGGCUUAACCGGGGAACUGCGUCGGAUACUGGAUGGCUUGAGUUUGGGAGAGGGAUGCGGAAUUCCAGGUGUAGCGGUGAAAUGCGUAGAUAUCUGGAGGAACACCGGUGGCGAAGGCGGCAUCCUGGACCGUAACUGACGCUGAAACACGAAAGCGUGGGUAGCGAACAGG
rnacentral:rRNA from 1 species